rnacentral:lncRNA from 1 species
CCAGGAGAUUUUAAGAUUCCUCUUGCAUGUCAUAUGCUUUGUGGACUCCUGAAAAAUUAUCAUGUAGCCAUGCAAAUCCUUGGUGGAAACUCGGUUUUUGCUUUGAACCUAAUCUGCAUGCCCAUCAGGGACAUCUUGGGAACAAAAUUGGUAGGGUUACAGGACUAAGGGCUAAAAGAUGCUGCCAUGGAAGGAGAAAGG